rnacentral:rRNA from 1 species
GACGAACGCUGGCGGCGUGCCUAACACAUGCAAGUCGAGCGGAGACUGCAGCAAUGUAAUCUUAGCGGCGGACGGGUGAGUAACGCGUGGGCAACCUACCUUUAUCUGGGGGAUAACACAGGGAAACUUGUGCUAAUACCGCAUAACAUCAUGAAAAGACAUCUUUUUAUGAUUAAAGGAGUAAUCCGGAUAGAGAUGGUCGCGCGUCCGAUUAGCUAGUUGGUGGUGUAACGGACCACCAAGGCGACGAUCGGUAGCAAAACUGAGAGGUUGAUCGGCCACAUUGGGACUGAGACACGGCCCAGACUCCUACGGGAGGCAGCAGUGGGGAAUAUUGCCCAAUGGGGGAAACCCUGACGCAGCAACGCCGCGUGAAGGAUGAAGGUUUUCGGAUCGUAAACUUCUUUGAUGAGGGACGAAUAAAUGACGGUACCUCAAAAACAAGCCACGGCUAACUACGUGCCAGCCGCCGCCGUAA